rnacentral:lncRNA from 1 species
UUCAAACUCACAAGCAUUAUUGGUUGCAUUCAGUGAAUUUUUUCCAGACUUGUACAUGCACGCCUUAGCAGUACGCGCGCACAUCGCCCGAGCGCGGGUAACAUACAUACAUACAUACAUACAUACAUACAUGACUUUAUUUAGAACACGGAGAACCAUCAGUACAUUUUAUGAAAAUUAUCUAUUUACAAAUAAAAGCAAUUAAUAUAAGUUAGAAAGAAGACAAGAUUGAAGGGAAGAAGGAAAGGAGGAGAGGUACUGUUCUACCUGGUUGCCGUGUGGGAGUCGGUAGGACUGGAAGAAUAUAGAGAUUCCAGAUUUCCUUUAAACGAGGAGAGGGAUGAUGAUAAUCUAAGAGAUUCAGGCAAGCAGUUCCAUAGUGAUGCUCCACUAUAACUGAAGGAGCGCUUAAGAUAAUCAGUAUUGGGCUUAGGAAUAAACAACUUGCCAUUAGAAUUUCUUAGUAAAUAUUGACAAUUUCUGGAUGAAAACAAUUCUUGUAAGUACUGGGGAGAUUGACCAUUAAGAGUUUUAAACAUAACAACAGCUUUUUGCUUUUGACGGUUAAUCGACAAAGUGUUCCACUGCAGCUGAUCUAGAAGUUGACUAGAUGAAAUAUCAUAAGAAGAACGGGUAAUAACACGAGCUGCUCUGUUUUGAAGUUUUUGAAGCCUAUCACUUAGAGUUACUCCGAGGCCGUCCCAUACUGGAGC